AUGUAACGUCUACAAUGCCGCCUGAAGGAUUUGUUGCGAUUGAUCACGUAACUUCGAAUGGCAUAGCAUCGUAGAGAGCCAUGAGCGAAUGCAAAAACGACGCAACCUAGACUCGACUUUGACCAAUGGCGUAGUGUCUCAGUAGCAAUCUUUGUUGGUGAUGAUGGAUCCGGAAAGAAGAAACGUUAUGAAAUGGAUUGGUUUGAACGGCCCCUUCACAAUGCUGUGCGCUCAACAAGGUGGCCUUCUUGCCUACUGAACGCUUGUAAAGUACCAUGUACCGGACGAUGACGAGAACGCAUGCCAAAGAAACAAUCAAAGGCUGACUGCUGCUGCAAGAACACCUCUGUUAUAUUUGAGAACAGUCCCUUUGCUAACCCUAAACCCUGAGGAUGUUUUCAUUAGUCAAGAACUAAAGUUAGGGGAUUGAAGACGAUCAGAUACCGUCGUAGUCUUAACCAUAAACUAUGCCGACUAGGGAUCGGGCGAUGUUCUUUUUUUGACUCGCUCGGCACCUUACGAGAAAUCAAAGUUUUUGGGUUCCGGGGAAAGUAUGGUCGCAAGGCUGACACUUAAAGAAAUUGAGGGAAGGGCACCACCAGGAGUGGAGCCUGCGGCUUAAUUUGACUCAACACGGGGAAACUAACCAGGUCCAGACAAAGUAAGGAUUGACAGAUUGAUAGCUCUUUCUUGAUUCUUUGGGUGGUGGUGCAUGGCCGGUCUCAGUUGGUGGAGUGAUUUGUCUGCUUAAUUGCGAUAACGAACGAGAUCUUAACCUGCUAAAUAGCCCAACUAGCUUUUGCUGCUCGCUGGCUUCUUAGAGGGACUAUUGGCAUAAAGCCAAUGGAAAUUUGAGGCAAUAACAGGUCUGUGAUGCCCUUAGAUGUCCUGGGCCGCACGCGCGCUACACUGACGGAGCCAGCGAGUUCAUUCCUUGGCCGGAAGGCCUGGGUAAUCUUGUGAAACUCCGUGGUGAUGGGGUUAGAGCAUUGCAAUUAUUGCUCUUCAACGAGGAAUUCCUAGUAAGCGCAAGUCAUCAGCUUGCGUUGAUUUACGUUCCUGCCCUUUGUACACCGCCCGUCGCUACUACCGAUUGAAUGGCUUAGUGAGACCUCCGGAUUGACGUUGAGCUGCUGGCAACGGCGGCCCUUUGUCGAGGAGUUGAUCAAACUUGGUCAUUGUAGGAAGUAAAAGUCGUAACAAGGUUUCCGUAGGUGAACCUGCGGAAAG
rnacentral:rRNA from 1 species